rnacentral:rRNA from 1 species
CCUACGGGUGGCAGCAGUGAGGAAUAUUGGUCAAUGGCCGAGAGUCUGAACCAGCCAAGUCGCGUGAAGGAUGACUGCCCUAUGGGUUGUAAACUUCUUUUAUCUGGGAAUAAAAUGUUCCACGUGUGGGUUUUUGUAUGUACCAUAUGAAUAAGGAUCGGCUAACUCCGUGCCAGCAGCCGCGGUAAUACGGAGGAUCCGAGCGUUAUCCGGAUUUAUUGGGUUUAAAGGGAGCGUAGGUGGAUUGUUAAGUCAGUUGUGAAAGUUUGCGGCUCAACCGUAAAAUUGCAGUUGAAACUGGCAGUCUUGAGUACAGUAGAGGUAGGCGGAAUGCGUGGUGUAGCGGUGAAAUGCUUAGAUAUCACGAAGAACUCCGAUUGCGAAGGCAGCUCACUGGACUGCAACUGACACUGAGGCUCGAAAGUGUGGGUAUCAAACAGGAUUAGAUACCCUUGUAGUC